GGAGGGGGGAGCAACCGGGCUGGCGAUGGAGUAGGACUCGGAUAAAAGAAACAGAAAAGGGAUUCAAAAGGGGGUCCUCUAGUGGUCUCUCCUGCCGCUCUCGAUCAUAGCGGCCACCAGCCUCGACGCUGCUCCUGGUCCUGCAUUCCUCUGUCCCCGGGCCCAGUGGAACAGCAUGUCCAGCACCAAGGCUCCCAGGUUGUCCCUGGAUGCGUCACUAGAGGGUUUUUUUGAGCAUGAGGAGCAGGGGGAGGGACAGAUGAGCAUCAGUCUGUGUGUAAUCUCCUGCAGUGUCCCAGAUGGCUUAGUGAUGGCUGACAGUGCAGAUUAAAACAAUCAAAAUCCUCUAUCAUUUCUCUCCCACUGCGGUUUUCCUUCACUCACAUUACAUCUCUCCAAUUCCGUCUUGUUCCCUUAGAGGCUUUGGUUGUGCUAACACGCGUUUGUGCACGCACUGGUUAUGUCAUUCACUCAUGUAGAGAUGCUUUAAACAGAAAAUGUACAUUUUUUUUACUGGGCAAUAGGCUAUAAGAUACAGUUCAAAUGCAAACAUUUUAUACUUGCCUUGAUGAAGGCCUCAAUGGCCAAAACGCGUUGCCUUAUUUUAAUGACUUAGUCAAGCAAUUUAAUAUAGGCUUUUUAAACUUUACCCUCCUGAGUGCUUCAGUGUUGUUUAGUUCCCAAAUAAACCAAAGAUUUCUGAAUUUGUAGUGUGACAUGUUGACAGUGUGGUGUCUGAGUCUUGGCCUUAAAAUAAACAUAUAACUGCACUGAAAUUAGAUCUCUAUAUGAUGGCUUGUAAAAACAAUUACCAAAUCAGUAAAUAUUGAGUUCAGUUAAGGAGUUUUGACUGAACAUGACGCAGUUAGGCCAAUCCUACCUGUACUUGAACUGGAUGCGGUCCAACUCCUGGUAGCUUAAGCCA